rnacentral:rRNA from 1 species
GACGAACGCUGGCGGCGUGCUUAACACAUGCAAGUCGAACGAAGUGGCGGACGGGUGAGUAACGCGUAAACAACCUGCCCAUCAACGGGGGACAACAGUUGGAAACGACUGCUCAUACCGCAUACUGAAGGAGGGGAUUGCGUCUGAUUAGCUAGUUGGGGGGGGAACGGCCAACCAAGGCGAUGAUCAGUAGCCGGGCUGAGAGGGGGAACGGCCACAUUGGGACUGGGGCACGGCCCAGACUCCUACGGGAGGCAGCAGGGGGGAAUCUUCCGCAAUGGACGAAAGUCUGACGGAGCAACGCCGCGGGAGUGAUGACGGCCUUCGGGUUGGAAAGCUCUUUUAAUCGGGACGCGGUACCGGAAUAGAAAGCCACGGCUAACUACGUGCCAGCAGCCGCGGUAAUAC